CAGGGUCAGCAGCCAUGGCUCACGGGCCCAGCCACUCUGCGGCAUGUGGGAUCUUCCCGGACCGGGGCACGAACCCGUGUCCCCUGCAUCGGCAGGUGGACUCUCAACCACUGCGCCACGAGGGAAGCCCGAAAUCAGUGGAGGAAGAGAGCAGCAGUGUUCCUGAGUGUCCCUGGAAACUCUAUUUAGUAGCCUGCUUUCUGAAGAUUUGCCCACCCUGCCCUGGGGACGUGGUGUAUCCAGAGGCAAACCUAAGAAAAAAGAAGCCCUGGCACCAUAUGUAUGAAGACUUCUUCUGUCCUUCUCCUCCUCUUGAGUAUACAGAUAAGCAUAGGAGGGAGCAGAGCAAAGAAUCAAGGGAAGUUUCUGGCACUACCGGUUUCAGAGAGUACAAGCUUUUAAUAGCCAAUAUACACUUUUGCUUUGGUAUAUCUACUCAGGCAAGGCCAAUGCCCUCCAGGAAGUUACCUGAUAGGAAAACGAAAGCAUCACCUCCUCUCAUAAAAAUCCAUGAUUCACACAUUCAUUCAUUCAUCAGUUACUUAUUAAAUAUCAACUACGUGUCAGGCACAGGUCUAGGCACUAGGGAAACAGCAGCAACAAAAAUAGUAAAUACUAGGGCUUCCCUGGUGGCACAGUGGUUGAGAGUCUGCCUGCCGAUGCAGGGGACACGGGUUCGUGCCCCGGUCCGGGAACAUCCCACAUGCCGUGAAGCGGCUGGGCCCGUGAGCCAUGGCCGCUGAGCCUGCGUGUCCGGAGCCUGUGCUCCGCAACGGGAGAGGCCGCAACAGUGAGAGGCCCGCGUACCGCAAAAAAAAAAAAAAAAAAAGUAAAAACUACAACAACAAAAACAACCUUGCCCUUAUGGAACGUAUGGAACUUUCUGUCUUUUUGGGGAGAAAGACAAUAAACAAAACAAGCAAGUACAGAGGCAAUUAGUGCUAUGGAGGAAAAAUAAAACAGGGAAAGAGUAGAGACAGAGCUGGGGGUGGUGAAGAAGGGAGUUUGAAAGGAUAAAUAAAUAGGGCGACCAGGGAAGGCCUCACUGGAAUUCAGUGUGGCCUUGGUCAUAAACCCUCAAGAAAGAUCUCUUGAAGCUGGAAAAGACCCUGAGAAAGAGACUCAAACAAUCGAUCAAGAAAGAAUUUCAUCAGGUAACUACUGAUAUCUACUAUGGUAUAGAUGAGUGCUCAUCAAAUAUUCCAUGUACUUUCCUACAUUUCCCAGCCUUCCCUGCAUUAGGUUGGAGCCAUAGGACUAGUAGUCGCCAAUCGUUUGUGAGCAGAAGUGAUAUGGGGCUUCGUUGGUGGCGCAGUGGUUAAGAAUCUGCCCGCCAAUGCAGGGGACAUGGGUUUGAGCCCUGGCCCGAGAAGAUCCCACAUGCCACAGAGCAACUAAGCCCUUGCGCCACAACUAGUGAGCCUGCACUCUAGAGCCCGCGAACCACAACUACUGAAGCCCAUGUGCCUGGAGCCCGUGCUCGGCAACAGGAGAAGGCACCGCAAUGAGAAUCCCGCACACCACAACGAAGAGUAGCCCCCGCUCACCACAACUAGAGAAAGCCUGCACACAGCAACGAAGACUCAACGCAGCCAAAAAGAAAUAAAAAUUAAAAAAAAAAAAUCCUGUUAAAAAAAAAAAGAGGUGAUAAGUAUCAUUUCUGGGCUGAGGCAUUUAAAAGCCCAAGUGCUUCCUUCCCCUUCCCUUGCCUACCUUGGCCAUCUUGGAGGCACAUGCUCCUGGCUGAUUGUCUGCCCUCAACCCGCUCCUCUCGUCUCAUUUUUUUUCAGGCAUUCAUCUUUCCCUCAUGCAGCCCAUGUGACUCAAGGUACACUGAGCCCAUCCUUAGCUGCAAAGCCAGUGUGCUGGGUCUAACCCAGUGGUUCUCUUUAAGUGUGGUUCUUAGGCUAAUGACAUCAGCAUUAUUUGGGAUCUUGUUAGAAAUGUACAAUCAGAAAAGUAAAUUCUCAGCCCCCAACCCCUCAAGACUACUGAAUCAGAAACUCUGGGGCUGGGGCCCUGCAAUUUGUAUUUUAAUAAGCCCUCCUGCUGAUUCUGAUGCAGGCUUAUAUUUGAGAACCACUUGUCCUCACCAAUCAUGUUAAUCACAUUCCCCUUGAUAAUGAUUGGUUCCUGAAUCCAGGUUUAAGCCAGUCAGUGUCUGGCAUUCCCCUGGCAGCUGAACUGGUUCAAAGGGAGUCAUGUGACUUGAGUUGGCCCAAGUCAGACUGAAGAGAAGGCUAUUGAAGCCACAGUUGAAGGAGGUUUUUUUUCCCUUCCUAAGCUUUCCAGGACCCUGCUCCUUCCCUUACCCCUGUUGAUGGACACGAGUGAGGUUGCCUUCUUUGCCGACCAUGAGGGAAACUAGGCUGAGGGCAGAGCUGAAAGGAUCACAGUGAAAAGGAGCCAGAAUGCUUGCACUGUGCCUGUUCCCUGAAAUAACACAUUUCCUUAUGAUUUAAGCCAGUUGGACUUGUGGUUUCUUGUACUUAUAGCCAAAACUGUCAUAACUACAAAGAAGUUAUGAGACCAAGGAAGCAUGGGGCCAAUGGGCAUACCAAAAAUAUUCUAGGAUGAUGAAGGACGUAUUUAGUUAACAGGGAUUUUUUUUUUUCCACCAAGUUCUCAAACACUAGACCCAGCUAGAAUGACUGUUAUAACUUGGGAAAAGCAAUUUAGGACAAAUAAAAUGGAGCAUUACUUCAUGCACUGGGUCCCCAGGUGGUGAACUGACUAAAAAUACACAACUAAUAUUUUUUUAAAAAGAGGGGGACUUAAGUAAUCUUCUUAAGUGAAAUGAAAAAAAUGGAGUAAUACACAAGAUGAGCCCAGAAUAUAUUGUAGUUCCAGAAAGUAAGAAAGUGCUCAAAAAAGAAUGGAAUGCAGGAACCAGCCUGAAAGAACUCCCAAUGACUGAAGCCAAGACAAUUUGACAACAAAAUAAAUAAUGAUAGCAUUGGAUAAUAAACCAGACUAAAGUAAUUACCCAUGAGUCCGUAAUGAUAUAAAUAAAUAAUUGAAUAAGUAAAGAAAUGGGAGAGAAGAUAUAGCUCUUCCCUAUAGAAGAGUUCCAAUGAAUUAAUGUAGAAGGAAUGAAUGAAAGAAAUGGAAAAGCAGUUAGAACACCACGGUAAUCAUUGUUGCAAGUGUGAUCCACUGAUGGAUGCUAAAAUUAAUGGAAGAAGGUUUGAAGAGAAACAGGAUAUUUGUAUAGUCUCAAAGUAUCUUCCUCAAGGGAGAAAAUGCACAUAGAAGACAAACUAGGGUGUCACAGGGCUGUGUAUGUCCAGGGUUUUCCCCUGAAAUACGCCCUGUGGUUUCAGACACAGGUAAACAGAGAUUUGGUUUAAAAUUGCAUGGCCAGGACUUCAUGGGUUCCUCCAAGAAACAAGAAGGGGAUCAGAGACCUUCAGUUAGGACUGAGCUGGAUGAGGCCUGGCCCAAAGUGUUGUCCUCUGUGUUCUACUCUCUACGAACCCAAUGGGUUCGUCUUCCUCACCGCCCCCCCGCAUCUCUACCCCAAUGCCAAGGCUGCUCUCUGGAGGCAGGGUGGUGGUCAGUUGCACAAGCCAAUGCCAGUGUGCAGAUCUACUGGAAUGCAUCUAGUUUCCUCUGGAUUUUCUGGUUGGUUAUUUGUGUUGGCAGGGGGCCAUGCUCAGUUCCUCCCAAACUGGAACACAUUCUCUGGAAGGGCUGGUCCCACCAUUCUCAUCUUGGUUGAGGUCAAAGUUUCAUCGUUCAUUAAACUACCAUUUGUAAUUUU